rnacentral:rRNA from 1 species
CCUGUUUAACCUAUAGGAGGUCCAGCCUGCCCAGUGACUCUGUUUAACGGCCGCGGUAUCCUAACCGUGCGAAGGUAGCGUAAUCACUUGUUCUUUAAAUGAGGACUAGUAUGAAUGGCAUCACGAAGGUUAUACUGUCUCCUUUUCCUAAUCAGUGAAACUAAUCUUCCCGUGAAGAAGCGGGAAUAAACCUAUAAGACGAGAAGACCCUAUGGAGCUUCAAACUUUUCAGCAAUUAUCUUCACUUUUACAAACUUCCCUGAACAAUAAAAUUAAUCCAGAUAACAUGUCUGCAAGUUUUCGGUUGGGGUGACCACGGAGCAAAACUUACCCUCCGCAAUGAAUUAGAAUUCCAUUUCUAAACAAAGAAUUACAAUUCUAUGUAUCAAAAAAUUGACACAAUUGACCCAAUACUUUGAUCAACGAAC